GAUGAACGCUGGCGGCGUGCCUAAUACAUGCAAGUCGAACGAAAAGAAAUAAGAGCUUGCUUUUAAAUCUUUUAGUGGCGAACGGGUGAGUAAUACAUAAGCAACCUACCCAUCAGACUGGGAUAACUAUUGGAAACGAUAGCUAAUACCGGAUAGCUAAUUUGAAGGCAUCUUCGAAUUACUAAAGUUUAGAUACACUGAUGGAUGGGCUUAUGCCGCAUUAGUUAGUUGGUGAGGUAGUGGCUCACCAAGACGAUGAUGCGUAGCCGACCUGAGAGGGUGAACGGCCACAUUGGGACUGAGACACGGCCCAAACUCCUACGGGAGGCAGCAGUAGGGAAUUUUCGGCAAUGGGCGCAAGCCUGACCGAGCAACGCCGCGUGAGUGAAGAAGGCCUUAGGGUUGUAAAGCUCUGUUGUAAAGGAAGAAGAGCUUAGAUAGAAUCUAAGUGUGACGGUACUUUACCAGAAAGCCACGGCUAACUACGUGCCAGCAGCCGCGGUAAUAC
rnacentral:rRNA from 1 species